rnacentral:rRNA from 1 species
CACGUAGGGUGCGAGCGUUGUCCGGAAUUAUUGGGCGUAAAGAGCUCGUAGGCGGUGUGUCGCGUCGGCCGUGAAAACCUGCAGCUUAACUGUGGGCUUGCGGUCGAUACGGGCAUCACUGGAGUUCGGCAGGGGAGACUGGAAUUCCUGGUGUAGCGGUGAAAUGCGCAGAUAUCAGGAGGAACACCGGUGGCGAAGGCGGGUCUCUGGGCAACAACUGACGCUGAGGAGCGAAAGCGUGGUGAGCGAACAGG